rnacentral:rRNA from 1 species
AAUAUUUGACAAUGGGCGCAAGCCUGAUUCAGCCCUGCCGCGUGAGUGUUUAAGGCCUUAGUGUUGUAAAGCUCUUUCACCGAUGAAGAUAAUGACGGUAGUCGGCGACGAAGCCCCGGCUAACUUCGUGCCAGCAGCCGCGGUAAUACGAGGGGGGCUAGCGUUGUUCGGAUUUACUGGGCGUAAAGCGCACGUAGGCGGAUUGGUCAGUUAGAGGUGAAAUCCCGAAGCUCAACGUCGGAACUGCCUUUAAUACUGCCAGUCUCGAGUCCGGAAGAGGUAAGUGGAACUCCUAGUGUAGAGGUGGAAUUCGUAGAUAUUAGGAAGAACACCAGUGGCGAAGGCGGCUUACUGGUCCGGAACUGACGCUGAGGUGCGAAAGCGUGGGGAGCAAACAG